GCUCAUUUUAGUAUUUUUUGGGUAUCUUCAUCUGGCACUAGGAUCUAGCUUGCAAGGGGGAGACCAACAUGCUCCGUUGUCAACUUUUGUUUAAAUAAACUAGGAUGUACUUAUUACAGUCCCUGUUUUGUUUAAAUAUAGUUUUAGGACACCUGUACUUUUUUUGAGUUUAUAUUCUGCGGGGAGAGAUAGAAACCACAGACUCUAAUUGCAAGUUAGAGAGCAUCAUACUCUGUUGUUAGUUUUUGUUUAAUUGCAUUGUUUUGUCAGUUUUGCAGACGCAGUCAGUGAUUGGGAAGUUAACUUACCGUGUGAAAAGCACUUUAGUUGGAUUUUGGAAUGGAUGACUAUACUUCACUUUCGGACAGCAAGACAAGGCGCCAGAUGAUCCCUCUCCUAAAAAGGAAACAUGAAUAAUUUUUUGAAUAUGAUCUCUUGCUUAUGUCCAUUUGAAAUGAUGGUGGGUAGCAGAUAUAUGCUUGGGUUAGACAAAACACGAAGGAUAAAGUCAUGUGCUGUGUGCAGUUUGGAGAUGCAACAUUUAGGAGGAAACCGUGGGUCCAUGUGUAACAUAAUAUGAAAGAUGGAUAUGUCCUUACUUUGCAGAAGUUCUGUAACAGAAAGCUAAUUUGGAAUA